rnacentral:rRNA from 1 species
GAUGAACGCUGGCGGCGUGCCUAAUACAUGCAAGUCGAGCGAACAGACGAGGAGCUUGCUCCUCUGACGUUAGCGGCGGACGGGUGAGUAACACGUGGAUAACCUACCUAUAAGACUGGGAUAACUUCGGGAAACCGGAGCUAAUACCGGAUAAUAUAUUGAACCGCAUGGUUCAAUAGUUAAAGACGGUUUUGCUGUCACUUAUAGAUGGAUCCGCGUCGCAUUAGCUAGUUGGUAAGGUAACGGCCUACCAAGGCAACGAUGCGUAGCCGACCUGAGAGGGUGAUCGGCCACACUGGAACUGAGACACGGUCCAGACUCCUACGGGAGGCAGCAGUAGGGAAUCUUCCGCAAUGGGCGAAAGCCUGACGGAGCAACGCCGCGUGAGUGAAGAAGGUCUUCGGAUCGUAAAACUCUGUUAUUAGGGAAGAAAAAAUGUGUAAGUAACUAUGCACGUCUUGACGGUACCUAAUCAGAAAGCAACGGCUAACUACGUG